AAAAUAGGACAACUCAUUCACAGGUUGUGUGUGGGGGGCUGCUGACAGGGACUCUGACCAACAUUAUCAGAAGGUGAAGUUGGGAAGACAUGGUGCCUUUUAUUCCCUUUGGUGUCUCUUUGUUUGGAAGCUUUGUUUUCUAAUGAAGCAUUCUCUGUGGAGUGAGUCACAGUUGUGAGAACCGGGAAUGUUUUAAGAGUAUGUUUAUGGAUUUUAGAAAUAAAUAAGCAAUGAGUAAAAUGCUUCAAAACUGAAAGUACUGUGCCAUAUAUUUUUAUCUGUCACCAAGGCACAGGAGAAAUGUCUAAGUAUUGAUUUUCUACUUUUAUGCCCUCUGUUGGAGGUGCUCGUUAAAGCCAGAAGCACUCCCAAGGACUGGAUUGGAGGGUCCUGUGGGGUGACUUAUCCAGACGGAUGCCAUGGAACUGUUCUUUGUCCUUAUGAGGAGUUGGAGUUCCACAGACACUGGUGUUAAAAAGUGAGAUUCGUGAUUUUGAAGAGUUUUUGGUCACACAAAUGGAAAUGGAAAUUCUGCUAAACAAGGUUCUCUGGGUACUCCUGGAAAAGGCUGCUGGAUCCUCUCUGUGCAGCACCGGCCCAGAAUAAAACAUGGUGUGAGACUGCUCAAGAGAUAACAAUAAAACAAGGAGUUAAAAUGUAAGAACCUGGUGAAGGAAGCUACUUGAAAGAGGUACAUGACCUUCAUUCUCUUGGCCAAAGGCAGUCAUCGAGGGGAUUGUGGUGGAAGAAUGACACGGCUGGGGAGGAAUUGUUGGAAGUGUCUUAUGAAGCAUUUAAAGAAAGUCGAAAACAAGAUGAGUUUGGCUUUUGAAAGUAAGAAUAGAAUUAAGAGACAUAUUUACAGCUUGUUUUACUCCUUGAAGAUGGCGGGUGGGGACAGGAGUGCAGAGUAUUCUGUCUACAGUCACCCUGAGGACAGGAUCACCCUAUCCUUGAUAGAGGUCUUUGCUCACAUAACUCCUUAGGAAUCUCCAUGUCUCCAGGAACUCAUCCAUUUUCUUUUCUUGGAAUGUGGCUGUCCACGCUCCCCCUAUCUCCCCUCUCCUCCAGAUCCACUCUCCCUCCCCCAUUCCCCUACAGAAAAGAGCAGCUCUCCAAGGGACAGCAACCAAACGUGACAGAAUGAGAUACAAUAAGACAAGGCAAAAGCCCUUCCACUGAGGCUGGACACGGCAACCAGAGAUGAGGAAAAGAGUCCCAGGAGCAGGCAAAAUGUCAGAGACACACACUCCACUGUUAAAAAUCUCUCAAGACCCUGCACUCCUGGGAGCCUCCGGAGGUGGACUGGCUUUUUGCCCUGGUGUAUGUGGGGGACUUCGAGAGCCCAUCCCACUUGAAGGGAUGCACUCUGUCUCUGAACACAUGGGGAGGGACCCAGGCCCAGCACAGGAAGAUUUGGUGGA
rnacentral:lncRNA from 1 species